GGGCCGAUAGCUCAGAUGGGAGAGCGCCGCGUUCGCAAUGCGGAGGUCGUGAGUUCGAUCCUCAUUCGGUCCACCA
rnacentral:tRNA from 1 species